rnacentral:rRNA from 1 species
GCCUAAUACAUGCAAGUCGAGCGAACGGAUUAAGAGCUUGCUCUUAUGAAGUUCGCGGCUGACGGGUCAGUAACACGUGUGUCACCUGCCCAUAAUACUGCGAUAACCCCGGGAAACCGGGGCUCAUCCCGGAUAACAUUUUGAACCGCAUGGUCCGGCAUUGAAAGGCGGCUUCGGCUGUCACUUAUGCAUGGACCCGCGUCGCAUUAGCUAGUUGGUGCGGUAACGGCUCACCUAGGCAACGAUCCGUAGCCGCCCUGCGACGGUGCUCGGCCACACCCGGACUGAGACACGGCCCAGACUCCUCCGGGAGGCAGCAGUAGGGACUCUUCCGCAAUGGACGAAAGCCCGACGGAGCAACGCCGCGUGAGGGAUGAAGGCGCUCGGUGCGUAAAACUCAGU